rnacentral:tRNA from 1 species
GGGGGUGUGGCUCAGCGGUAGAGCGCUCAUCUCACACACGGGACCUUGGGUUUGAUCCUCAGCACCACGU